rnacentral:rRNA from 1 species
AUGCGGUCCAGUAAGCGCGCGACCCCGUCCAGGUCCACGUCGGCGGCACAAGCAACAACGUGCCCCAGCCGUACGCACCGCCAUGGAAGGCGGUGGACCCCAAGAACCAUUUCCAGUGGCACGUCGAUGAGGACGUCGAACCGGAGUACGCACAUCGCGGCGAUGAGGUGCCGCGCGGGUGCCGUGGCAUCCGCCACAACGACGACGACUGCCCCGACCGCCGCGGCGUCCGCCAUGACGACGACGACUACAACGACCACCGCGACGGAUUUCGACUUAAGCCACCCAAGCACCCAUUUCCGGUCUUCAAAGGGUACAAAACUUGCUGGCUUCCCCUGCGUCCCAAGCAGACUGAGGCUGCUGAUGCGGAUGAGGCUUUGGCUGUUCCUCUUGAUGGUGAAUGGAUAUGGCACUGCCAUCAGCUUAAUCCUACUCAAUACAUAA